rnacentral:lncRNA from 1 species
UACCUUUGAUCAAGAGAAGAGAGAAAGGUUUCGACGACUUGAUAUUACUUGAUACUCCCUCACUCCUUGAGGAGUUCAAACCAUUAUAGAAGAGUUGUCAAGCCGAAAACCAAAUCGAAGAGAUGAAAAGGGAGAGAAGGCAAUAUUCGACAAAGAAUUGAUCAAAAAGGGUAGAGGAAGAAGAGAAAAUCGAACGAAAGUUGCAACAAAGAGAAGAGGGGAAGAAAAAUAAAAAAAGAAUCCAGCAGAGGGAAACCAAAAACUAUUCGACCAACACACGAAAGGAAAAAGAGAUGAGCAGAAAAAAGAUAUCAAAAAAACCCGAGAGGUACACCAAGUCUUAGAAAAAUUCGACACCC